UCCAGAGAUGGAUUGGUGCCUUCGGGAACUUUGAGACAGGUGCUGCAUGGCUGUCGUCAGCUCGUGUUGUGAAAUGUUGGGUUAAGUCCCGCAACGAGCGCAACCCUUAUCCUUGUUUGCCAGCGAGUAAUGUCGGGAACUCCAGGGAGACUGCCGGUGAUAAACCGGAGGAAGGUGGGGACGACGUCAAGUCAUCAUGGCCCUUACGAGUAGGGCUACACACGUGCUACAAUGGCGCAUACAGAGGGCAGCAAGCUAGCGAUAGUGAGCGAAUCCCAAAAAGUGCGUCGUAGUCCGGAUUGGAGUUUGCAACUCGACUCCAUGAAGUCGGAAUCGCUAGUAAUCGUGGAUCAGAAUGCCACGGUGAAUACGUUCCCGGG
rnacentral:rRNA from 1 species